GAUAAACGCUGGCGGCGUGCUUAACACAUGCAAGUCGAACGAAGUUUUUCCUUCGGGAGACACUUAGUGGCGGACGGGUGCGUAACGCGUGGGUAACCUGCCCUGUACAGGGGGACAACAGCUGGAAACGGCUGCUAAUACCGCAUAAGCACUUAUCACUGCAUGGUGCAUAGGGAAAAGGAGCAAUCCGGUACAGGAUGGAACCGCGUCGGAUUAGCCAGUUGGCAGGGUAACGGCCUACCAAAGCGACGAUCAGUAGCCGAUCUGAGAGGAUGUACGGCCACAUUGGGACUGAGACACAGCCCAGACUCCUACGGGAGGCAGCAGUGGGGAAUAUUGCACAAUGGAGGAAACUCUGAUGCAGCGACGCCGCGUGAGUGAAGAAGUAUUUCGGUAUGUAAAGCUCUAUAAGCAGGGAAGAAAAUGACGGUACCUGACUAAGAAGCACCGGCUAAAUACGUG
rnacentral:rRNA from 1 species